rnacentral:lncRNA from 1 species
CACCACUUAGUCCCUCUUUUUUUUAACAAAAAACCUGGCUUAAAGACACAGCUGCUAGAACACGUGAGUAUAAAAAACUUUUUCUCUUUUCUCCUUAAGUUAAAUUGGAAUCAGCAGUUUUUUUUCUUUUUCUUCCCUUUAAUCUUAAGGGACAGCUGGGUAGCUCAGCGGAUUGAGAGCCAGCCCUAGAGACAGAAGGUCCUGGGUUCAAAUUGGACCUCGGAUACUUCCCAGCUGUGUGACUCUGAUAGACAGAAAACAGCUGUUUUAAAUCUCAGCAACAGGACUCUAAAGUCCUGGCUGGAAGAACUGUUUCUAAAUAUCCUUUCCCUUAAGGAACAACUUCCUGGAUUAGAAAAAAAAAAAAGAAACCCUGUGGAAAGUUUGUUGCUUUGCCCUGCUCCCCACGUGUUUUGUGAAAUUACAAAAUAUAUAUAUAUAAAAAUGAGUACUACAUUCUUUAACAAUUAUAUGGCAGCUGAAGAAGUAGGGGCAUUGAGGAAUGCAGGAUACCUCCAAAUUUUUAUAUUAAUAGGUACUGUCAUUUGUGUAAUCCUCAAUACUAUAUUUAGAGAUGAUAAAAUAAGAAAAAUUGAGGAUAAAAUGCAAGCCCAAUUAGAAGAUCUAAAAAGUUUCUUACAGGAUCAAUUGGCAAACAACCACUCUACCAGAAACAGACCUGUUUCUGAACCUUUGAAUGAGGAAAUUUCCUUCCCUGAAAUAGAGAUGGAAAACACCUUCCCUAUAGCCCAGUUAACAGACUGCUUCUCUCGUGUAGUGCAAAUCUUGUCUGAAUUUAAUCCCCAAAACCCUCCCCCUGCAAUCCCAGCUUCUCAUGUUCCUUCUCCUACAGAAAACCAAAUUCCAAUGCAAGGGAGAUCUUGUCCUCCUAGAGAAACCUGUCCUUGUCAAACUGAACCACAGGUGCAAAAUUCAACUAGAGGCCUGUUUCCUCUAAGAGAAGUACCUGAAAUAGGACGGAAUGGGGAUGUGGUGACUUUAAGACAUAGGAUACCGUUUACUCCCCAAGAAAUAAAUGAAUUUACACGAAAUAUCCCCACAUAUGAACAAGAUCCUUUUCUAGUAGCAAAAAAGAUGGGAGACAUAUUUUUUCAGUAUAAUCCGUCUUACAAGGACGUUGAGAGCUUACUACAGGCUUUUUUAAGUGAACGUGAAAAAAAUAAAAUAAUUGCUCAUGUCAACAAAACCCGGGGGCGUAAUGCAGCACAUUGGCCAUCUCAGGAUCCCGAAUGGGACUAUAACAAUCCUGAGGAUUAUCUACAACUAUACUGUUGUAGAGAGGCCAUCCUCACGGCCAUGAAGGAAUGUGCAGACAGUACAGAUAAGUGGAUGGAACUGGAAAAAAUUAAGCAAAAGGAAGACGAAACACCCUCCAGAUUUAUGGACAGAAUUAUCGAGUUUGGGGACAGAUACUUAGAUUGGGACUUAACUAAAGAGAGUAGUUUAAGACAAGUUAGAAGAAUCUUUGUAAACAAUUCUUGCAAAGCAAUUAAGAAUUAUUUUAGAACACAAUGCCCAAGAUGGUCAGAUAUGGACCUUGAAGAAUUGCGAAAAACAGCUAUAUAUGUUUUAAAGGGAAACAAAGAAAAGGAGGAAGAAAAUAAUGAUGACAUGGAGGAAAUGAAGAAAAAAUAAGAUAUUUAAUAGAUAGGAUAACUAAAUUAGAAAGUGGGCAUGAUAAUGAACCAAC